GGGGCAGCGCUGGGUUGAGGGUGUUGUAUAGAGCUGCAGGGCGCAUGGAGUGCGAUGCAGGAGAGCCGCAGGAGGCCAUAGAGGAACGACAAGCAGGGGCGUGGGGGGUGCAAUGCGGACAGCGAUAGCCUAGACGUUGUGUGGAGAGAGAGAAGCGACGAGGAAGGGAGGUCAAUGACGGCAGGGAGGUCCAAGCAUGGGGCC
rnacentral:lncRNA from 1 species